GGGGGGCAAUUUUGGGCCCCCCCGCCCGGGUAAUUCCAGUUCCAAAAGGGUUAUUUAAAGUUGUUGCAGUUAAAAAGCUCGUAGUUGAAUUUC
rnacentral:rRNA from 1 species